CCUACGGGAGGCAGCAGUGGGGAAUAUUGCACAAUGGGGGGAACCCUGAUGCAGCGACGCCGCGUGGGUGAAGGAGUAUUUCGGUAUGUAAAGCCAUAUCAGCAGGGAAGAACAAUGACGGUACCUGACUAAGAAGCACCGGCUAAAUACGUGCCAGCAGCCGCGGUAAUACGUAUGGUGCAAGCGUUAUCCGGAUUUACUGGGUGUAAAGGGAGCGCAGGCGGCGCGUUAAGCCUGGUGUGAAAGUCCGCGGCCCAACCGCGGGACUGCAUUGGGAACAGGCGCGCUGGAGUGCCGGAGGGGUAGGCGGAAUUCCUAGUGUAGCGGUGAAAUGCGUAGAUAUUAGGAGGAACACCAGUGGCGAAGGCGGCCUACUGGACGGUGACUGACGCUGAGGCUCGAAAGCGUGGGGAGCAAACAGGAUUAGAUACCCUUGUAGUC
rnacentral:rRNA from 1 species